CCUACGGGAGGCUGCAGUGAGGAAUAUUGGUCAAUGGGCGCGAGCCUGAACCAGCCAAGUAGCGUGAAGGAUGACUGCCCUACGGGUUGUAAACUUCUUUUAUAAAGGAAUAAAGUGAGGCACGCGUGCCUUAUUGUAUGUACUUUAUGAAUAAGGAUCGGCUAAUUCCGUGCCAGCAGCCGCGGUAAUACGGAGGUUCCGAGCGUUAUCCGGAUUUAAUGGGGUGAAAGGGUGCGUAGAUGGGUUGUUAAGUCAGUUGUGAAAGUUUGCGGCUCAACCGUAAAAUUGCAAUUGAUACUGGCAGCCUUGAGUACAGUAGAGGUAGGCGGAAUUCGUGGUGUAGCGGUGAAAUGCUUAGAUAUCACGAAGAACUCCGAUUGCGAAGGCAGCUUACUAAACUGCCACUGACAUUGAUGCUCGAAAGUGUGGGUAUCAAACAGGAUUAGAUACCCCUGUAGUC
rnacentral:rRNA from 1 species